rnacentral:lncRNA from 1 species
GGGGAGAAAAUCAAUCUGAUCACAUCAUCAGAAAAAAAAGAGGCGGAACUGAACUUCGCGUGGUCCUUAUUGCGAUCGAUCAUCCAUCAGACCAUCACAUGACCUUUUUCUUAUUUAUUAACAACAAAAAGAAAAGAGGUUUGCUCGUCGCAUGAUCUAAUUAUCCAAUCAGUGGAACUAAUUAAAAUAGAUAAUCACAUCCCCGGGCAGGAUCAGAUACACCGGAAACAAAAAGGCAGGAGGGCCGCCUUUAGCAGCUCCGCUCGCUUUAACAGGAUAUCCCUUCUGAGUUUCUGAUCGAUCGAGCCAAAUCCGAACAGCGGAGGCCACCACGCCACUGCGCCGGCCGGCCGGCCUCUGUUG